rnacentral:lncRNA from 1 species
AAAUUAGUAUAAAUUCAAUCUCCAAGCUCUAAGUGAUAAACUCUAAACUAAGGAUAGGAUAAUAUGUAGGAUAAAAGAUAGGAUGAAAAAUGAGAUAAAAACCUAUAUUUAAGCCCUAAUUCCACAUUUGCCAAAUAUUACAAAAAUCCCCUUUAAACUUUCUCCUCUACCGCGAUCGCUAUCACUUGACAACGAUCGUGGUACCACUAUCGCAGUAGUCAUAUCACAAUCGCCUUUUGGUUGACUUGUUGAAUGACCGCGAUCGCGACCCUCAGUUCGUGAUUGUGGUGACUGAGAGUUGACCCUGGGCUGCAAGUUCAGCUUUUAUUCUUUUUGUUCAUAUUUCUUCUCUUUCACCUUCUUCUUAGCUCAUUUUUAUCAAUUUUCCUUGAUCAUCUUCUCAUUGAAAUUUUUACCUACACAAAUGAGCAUUAAGUAAGAAAGUAACAAUAAAUCAAUGAAAAAGCAUGAUAAUUUAGGCUUAAAAAUACUAGUAAGUUGCCAAAUUGAUGACUUAUCAAUUGGUACUUAGGAGAAGAUACUAGUUUUAGUUUAAGUCCAUCAAAUUAUGAUGUUAAGACCGGUUUUAUUUUGGUACUAUUCAUGAUAUGAGUUCUGGUGCAAGUCUGGCAAAUAAUAUAUUAGUUUUGGUUCAAGUUUUACAUUGAGAGGCUAUUUAUGAUUGUUAUGAAACCAGUUCAAGUUUGGUGAUUUUGGUGUAGAAGUAUCCAUAGUUAUAAUUUUGAGAUACGACUACAUAGUAUAAUUCCUGUUAUAACUUCUCUUGAUUACAUUCUCCGAGCUUAUGGGGGUCCAUAUUGGGCUAUUUACUUUAUUGCACUUUUUGGCUUAUGGGGCCCAGUUAUGUUUUCUUUAAUGUUAUUAUUCUGGUUAUUUAUUUACAGUAUUGGAAGCGUUAUUCUAGGUUUUCCCUCUUACCUUGACUUUACACUAUUUAUCUUGUAUUUUAUUAUAUUUAUAUUAUAAUUUAGCUCAGUCAGACGAUGAUGCAUACUGAGUAACCUUGGCUUUGGUACUCAUACUAAACUUCUGUAGUUAAUUGGUGCAGAUCCGAGUACUAGUUAUCGCCGUUGACGUUGAGAUUUAUGUUGGUCAGAGUUUAGAGACAUUGUGAGAUCUAAAAGCCAUAUUUGACAUUUUCUUCUUCUUUUGUCUUUGCUAGUCUUUCCCUUCUCGAUACUAUUGUUUAUUGACUUGAUAGUACUUGUAUUCUUUUGAAUUAGAGUCUCUUGCACUAACACUACUAGGUCAUGGGAUAUUAUUAUUUCUCUUAUUUCUUCUCUGUUAUAUUAUUAUUCUAAGAUUGAUAGCUUGUAUGUCUUUUACUUGCAUAUUUCUAGCAUUUAUGCCAUUUUACACAAAAAUUAGCCCAUUGUUUAUAGCUUUAGGCUAUGGUUUAGCUUACCUACUGGUGGAAUAAAGUAGCUGCCAUCAUGGCUCAAAAAUUGGGUCAUGGCAAUUAAUACUCAGCUUUGGGUGGCUUCAAUGAUGUUGUUUUGAUGUUAAAAUAGUGGGAAAAGACUACAAUUCCCCUCAUAAAAUGUAAUUGAAAAUAUAUAAAAUCGAGUCGUAUGGACCAUCCCACGAUCGUGGGACCCACCUAAAACUAUAGGUGGUGCUCGUGGUUUGUUGGACAAAUUUGGGAUCUAUAAACUCUAUUAUAUAAGCCUAGGUAUAAUGGUGGGACCCACCUAUCAUCGUAUGUUGGAGCUAAGUUGGAAGUCUAAGCUAGAUCAACUUUAAGAGUCACGAUCGUAACUAAGAUUGUGGUUUCUAACCACGGUCGUGGUUCCAUCUCGUGGUUGGAUGGUAUAAUUGUCAACUUUCAAAUGUUUGGUAUUAUUUCAAUCAUAUGGAAGAAUUGUACGAUCUUACAAUCUCACGACGAUCAUAGCUAUACCCAUAGUUUCUCUCUCACUGUUGAACAGUGUUUCACUAAAAUAGCCAUAACUUUUUACUUGGAUAUCGGAUUAAGAAAAAACUAAAUGCAUUGGAAAGAUAAUACAAAUCAAUCAUUUGGUAGGUUUUGUGAUCAAAAAUAUUUAAUGAUCUAGGAGUUAUUCUCAUUUAAUGUUGACUACAGGGAGAUUCUUCACAAAAUAUCUAUAGGUAAGGGACUUUUCAUCUAGACCAUGAGAUAGAAGUUACUUGUCGCCUUAAUACAUGUCUAAAUCACUUCUCAUACUGCCAAAACAUGAUAUUUGAUUUUACAUGUACUUGAAUCAUGGUUUUAAUCUUAUCUUGAAUAUUUGGGGUAUUACAUAAGUAGAGCUCAAAUCUCAACCAUCUUGCAUAUGUAGAUGUCACCAUUACUUUUGCUUCUUCAAAUGAAUAUUUUCUUGAGAAAAUUAUGUAGGUGUUCCAGUGAUAUGAACAACAUUAAGAGAAAAAGGUUAAAAAGAUAAAAGUUUCUUACAUAUGCGCCAAAUACUGUAAGAAAUAUUUGUACAACAGGUGGAGUUAAUUACUAGGAUGGCUUAGGGAUCAUUUCCCCUCAAGUACCUCGGGUGCCCCAUAUCUCCCACAAAGAAAAGCAAAGAGCAUUAUAGUGACUUACUUGAUAGAGUUAGAGGUAAAUUGAAAGCAUGUAAAGGAAGGAUGUUAUCAUAUGGGGGAAAAGAAGUGAUACUAACAAGUUUAUUACAAAGUAUUCAUAUUUAUGUAUUGCCUAUAAUGGUGUUCCUGUUAAGUGUGUCAUCAAAGAAUUGCAUAGAAUUUUUGCAAUAUUUUCGGGAACAAUAAGGAAGAUGGAAGAAAUAAGCAUUAGUCUGCAUGGAACAAAGUAUGUUUUCCUAAGAAAGAAAGGAGUUUUAGAUCCUUGAAUGAUAUGUAUCAAGCUAUGUAUGCUAAACUUUGGUGGAAGUUCAGGACACAAAGAAAUUUGUGGACUAAUUUCUAUGGAACAAAUACUACAAAAAACAAACACCUAAACUAGUUCAAUGAAAAAGAGAUCUCAAGAGCAGAAAGUAGUGUUAGAGAAUAGAGAGAAGAUAGAAAAAUUCUUAUUGUGGGAACCUGGAAGUGGUACAUCUAUAGUUUGGUAUGAUAAUUGUACAAACACGUCCUUUUUCAUAUAGGAUACUGAAAUACAGACCCGCUAUCCUUUGAGUGAGAUUGGGAUUUUCCAAAAUGUAAAAGGUUGGGGCUUUGAUUUAAUGAAAUAUUUUAUUUCAGAAAGUGUGAUAGAAUAUGUCAAAAAUUAGAUGAACAAUGUCAAAGUUGAGACUGUAAAGGAUAGAAUUUGGUAGACCAAAACAAAUAGUGCGAAGUUUACUAUCAAGAGUGCUUGGGAGAUGCUAAGAAAAAAGAAAGACAAUUCUGAAGAUAUACAUGCUUCAUGGUGUAAAAGUCUAUCAUUAAGUUCUCUUUUUUUAUUUGGAGGAUUUGAUUAGGAAAAGUUUCUAUUUUAGCUAAGAGAAUCACUAUAAUCACAAAAUAUCUCAAGAGUGUGUCUACUAUAACAUUCCAGAAAGGGAACUAUUGAGCACUUAUUCUUAAAAGGGGAGGUGGCAGAGAAAGUUUGGUAGAAAUGUAGCAUUAUUGUCGGCGUCACUGAACAAAGAUCAAACUUAAAGCAUGCUAUGAGAAUAUAGAAGAGGAAACAAGAAAACUCAAGAGUUAGAACAGUAUAUCAAGUUAACAGUAUAUCAAGUUAUCCCAAUUCUUAUAAUUUAGUUAAUCUGAAAGAGGAGAAACAACAUUUUACACAUACAGGAAAAUUUUUCAGGAGUUGGGUAAUACUAUUAAAAAAUUUAUCAAGCUCAGAUUUAAGAUGGAUAUUGUUGGGAAGAACUAGAAAAAUACUAAUAAGGUUUUACAGGAAUAUAAAGUAAGACAUAUGUCCAGAGUAAUCAGGUGGAAGUGACCCCUUACCUCUUUACUAAAUGUAAACACCGAUGGUGCUUCAAAAGGUAACCCAGGCCCUAGUUCCAUUGCUUUUUUCAUUAGAGAUUUAGGGAGGUACCUACUGAUGGCUAUGGAUUCAAAGAUUUCAGAUGCAACAAUUUUGGUGGUUGAAGUAAAAGCAAUUAAGGAAUGUUUGGUGUACUGCAAAAACAACUAUAAUUAGUCAGUUGAGGUAGAGACUAAUUCAUGGAAUACGGUCCAAAUUAUUCAUGGAAAUCGGGAAAUACCAAGGAUUAUGGCAAUGGAGGUCAACUUCAUUAAGGAAUUGAUGAAACAUUUAUCAAUAAGAGUAAUACAUUCCCAUCAGAAAGGUAAUACUCUUGUUGAUUUUUGUACUAACCUAGUUUUUGAUUUUGCAUGUGAUUAUCAAUUCAAUAAUAUCAGAGAGGUUCCAGCUAGAGGAAAAAGCAUAAUUGAGUUGGAAAAGCAAAGCAUAUCAUAUAUCAUAAAAAUUAUUCAGAAUGAUUGAUUUCAAAAAUAAAGUGACAAAAUUGGACCAGGUUCCAGGUUAACAUGUAUACAUAUUAAUAAGAGUUAAACGGGCUACUAAUUCUGAAAGUUACCUUUGUGAGAAGAAAUUAUAUUGGAUAAGAGCGUUUUUACCUGGUGAGAGCUUGGGGUGGCGAUUGACAUGAAUAUCCACAUAUUGAUAACUUUCCAAGUGGUGGCCUUACCCUCUUUUUGAUGUGAAGUUGCUUGGUCAAAAAACAAAGGAUUAAUCCUAGAAUUUGAUAUUACCUAGCUCUAACUACUUAGAUCUAAUGGUGAUAUCGACUUCUUGUGAAUUUCAAUCCAACAACUCUAGUAAAAUGAACUAAGAUGGUACAAGA